GACGAACGCUGGCGGCGUGCCUAACACAUGCAAGUCGAACGGAAAGGCCCUGCUCUUGUGCCGUGCUCGAGUGGCGAACGGGUGAGUAUCACGUGUGUAUCCUGCCCUUGUCUUUGGGAUAACUUCACGAAACUGCGGCUAAUAUCGGAUAGGAGCUCCUGCUCCGUGGUGGGCGUUGGAAAGUUUCGGCUUUUGGGGAUGGACUCGCGGCUUAUCAGCUUGUUGGUAGGGUAGUGGCUUACCAAGGCUUUGACGGGUAGCCGGCCUGAGAGGGUGGUCGGCCACACGGGAACUGAGACACGGUCAAGAGGCCUAAGGGAGGCAGCAGUAGGGAAUGGUAGGCAAUGGGGGAAAGCAUGACGGAGCAACGCCGCGUGAGUGACGAAGGUCCUGGGAUCGUAAAGAUGUGUUACUGGGUGAGAACAGCUGUGGACGGAGACGUAGCCGUAUUGACGGUACCUAGUAAAAAAGCACCGGCUAACUACGUG
rnacentral:rRNA from 1 species